rnacentral:rRNA from 1 species
GACGAACCGAGCGAACGUUGUUCGGAAUCACUGGGCUUAAAGGGCGCGUAGGCGGCUUGUCAAGUCGGGGGUGAAAUACUUCAGCUUAACUGGAGAAGUGCCUUCGAUACUGACAGGCUUGAGGGAGGUAGGGGUCUGUGGAACUUCUGGUGGAGCGGUGAAAUGCGUUGAUAUCAGAAGGAACGCCGGUGGCGAAAGCGACGGACUGGACCUCUUCUGACGCUGAGGCGCGAAAGCUAGGGGAGCAAACGGG